CUUGGUCAUUUAGAGGAAGUAAAAGUCGUAACAAGGUCUCCGUAGGUGAACCUGCGGAGGGAUCAUUACACAAAUAUGAAGGCGGGCUGGAACCUCUCGGGGUUACAGCCUUGCUGAAUUAUUCACCCUUGUCUUUUGCGUACUUCUUGUUUCCUUGGUGGGUUCGCCCACCACUAGGACAAACAUAAACCUUUUGUAAUUGCAAUCAGCGUCAGUAACAAAUUAAUAAUUACAACUUUCAACAACGGAUCUCUUGGUUCUGGCAUCGAUGAAGGACGCAGCGAAAUGCGAUAAGUAAUGUGAAUUGCAGAAUUCAGUGAAUCAUCGAAUCUUUGAACGCACAUUGCGCCCCCUGGUAUUCCGGGGGGCAUGCCUGUUCGAGCGUCAUUUGUACCCUCAAGCUUUGCUUGGUGUUGGGCGUCUUGUCUCUAGCUUUGCUGGAGACUCGCCUUAAAGUAAUUGGCAGCCGGCCUACUGGUUUCGGAGCGCAGCACAAGUCGCACUCUCUAUCAGCAAAGGUCUAGCAUCCAUUAAGCCUUUUUUUCAACUUUUGACCUCGGAUCAGGUAGGGAUACCCGCUGAACUUAAGCAUAUCAAUAAGCGGAGGA
rnacentral:rRNA from 1 species